AUUGCUUCUUGGCCUUUUGGCUAAGAUCAAGUGUAAAAACAGUAUCAGUAUAUUGUUAUAUUUAUUUUAUACUCUUG
rnacentral:snRNA from 1 species